UCGAUGUCAACGUUCACAAGAACCAAAACCGGAACAACAUUAGACUACUCAGUUGCGCCCUAACAGUAUAACUUUGCAACGAGUACUUUUUCUCAUUCUAUCGAACAAAGAGUAAAACCUAAUUAUAUUGUUCUAUUAUACCCCGAGAGUGUAAAUUUUUAACUUAUCGAGGUCAACGUUCACAAGAACCAAAGCCCAACCAACAUUAGACUACUCAGUUGCGCCCUAACAGCAUAACUUUGCAAUAAGUACUUUUUCUCCUCCAACCGAAUAAAGAGAAAAACCUAAUUAUAUUGUUCUAUUUUACCCUGAGAGAGUAAAUUUGCAACGUAUCAAUGUCAACGUUCACAAAAAUCAAAACCGGACCAACAUUAGACUACUCAGUUGCGCCCUAACAGCAUAACUUUGCAAUAAGUACUUUUUCUCCUCCAACCGAAUAAAGAGAAAAACCUAAUUAUAUUGUUCUAUUUUACCCUGAGAGAGUAAAUUUGCAACGUAUCAAUGUCAACGUUCACAAAAAUCAAAACCGGACCAACAUUAGACUACUCAGUUGCGCCCUUACAAUAUAACUUAAUUAUAUUGUUCUAUUAGACUUUUUCUCAUUCAAUUGAACAAAGAGUAAAACCUAAUUAUAUUGUUCUAUUAUGCCCCGAGAGUAUAAAUUUGCAGUGUAUCGAUGUCAACGUUCACACGAACCAAAAUGGUACAAACAUUAGACUACUAGUUGUGCCCUAACAGUAUAACUUUGCAACGAGUACUUUUUCUCAUUCAACCGAACAAACAGUAAAACCUGAUUAUAUUGUUCUAUUAUGCCCCGAGAGUAUAAAUUUGCAACGUAUCGAUGUCAACGUUCACAAGAACCAAAAUCGGAACAACAUUAGACUACUCAGUUACGCCAUAACAGUAUAACUUUGCAAACAGUACUUUUUCUCAUUCAAUCGAACAAAGAGUAAAACCAACUUAUAUUAUUCUAUUAUACCCCGAGCAUGUAAAUUUGCAAC
rnacentral:lncRNA from 1 species